GAGCAAAUCAACCAGCACAUUUAAGCAGCCUUUUUAACCCUGAGACUUUCCAAGAUUUCUUCUUCACACAGGAAGUUUCUUUAUAUUGUCAGAUUUAGCACUUUGCUCAUGUAAUGAGAUCAGAGCUAGGAUCACUGCUGCACAGUAGAAAGACUUCCUUAAGACAUUUGUCCUUGAAACUGCACCAAACUCUUGGAAGAACCCAGAACCUGAUUUGCUGACAUUUUGGCUGUUUCAUUGCCAGAGGAGGCUUUGUGUGUCCCAAAGGAAGUGAGUGAUCUGGCCAUAACAAAUCCUGCCAAAAUAUUUUAACACCGUUACGAUUUCCUAAUGCAAUGCGUAGUGAAUGUGACUAGGAAAGGAUGGUGAGUCCGUGACGGGGAUUUGUUCCCUCUCGCGUGCAGUUGCCCGGYAGAACGAGCACCGAUGAGCCCUGG
rnacentral:lncRNA from 1 species